rnacentral:lncRNA from 1 species
AUGGACGUGAGAUUUUAUCCAGCACCCCCUUCAAGCGUGGGCUCAUGUACAUUACCAACUGAUUCAAGUUGCCUGACCUCUUUGGACUAUUAUCACUGCAACAAGAGCAGAUACGGUGCAUCAGACGACCGCGGCGUUCGACUUUAUAGCUCCCUGCCCAUGCGCCCCAACCCCAACGGGAAGAGACUGCCCUCUGCUGGGGUGAGAGGAUGCUCCCCUUACCCCCACCCCCCUUACUCCCCACACCUCACCCCCUUACUCCCCACACCUCACCCCCUAUUUCCCCACACCUCACCCCCUUACUCACAGUUAGUACACAGUUCCACCCUACAGUGCCGAUGGCCAUUAAAUGCCAGUGAUGUGCCACCACGAGACGAGUUGGGUGGUUUUGUGGUCUUCAACUGGUAGCACCCUCACAUCUUGUGUUUCUGUAUGAAGUGACUGACGAAAACACGUUCCCCACAAGAUAUGGUACUGUGCUAAACACUUUCUACAUCUCCCUAUGGAGACGUGCAUCAGGGCCUGUAAUCACAAAAUCUUCUCAAUUCAUCACAAUGAAUAGGUGUGGGGACCUGAUCCUAGUUCAGCCACUACGGGCUCAGAUCAGUUCUAGGAUCUGUCCCACUUUAAAUGACGGUCAGCUUAUAAAGGCAUUAUAAAUCCUUCAUAAAGCUUUCAUAAACGCUACAUAAAUGUGUUACAAAUCAUUGAUAAACGUAUGUCAUGCUUUAUAAAGGGUUCAUAAAUGUGGCAUAACUGUGUGACAUACAGUAACCACUAAUGUCAAUGUGACAUAACCCAUUGUGGCAUAAGCACCGCUUAAUAAAGGCCUUGUAAAUCAUAUUACAUUGAGGCUCUCAUGCAUCUUGGUACAGCAUUGCAAUACCAGGAUAUUGGGUUUGAUUCCUGCGACCACCCAUUUGUAAAAAAUGUAUUCACUCAGGACUCUAACUCGCUUUGGAUAAAAGUGUCCGCUUAAUUGUAUAUAUUAUAUUAUAUUUCACUAAUUUCUAAGAUGGCUCAACCUCUUUCCCUCUUGGGUGCAUAGUUAAUAUUGGACCUAAAAUGCAGUCAUGCAGAGCAAAAAAUGUUGGUAGAGCCUUUUAAAAUCCGCUGGGAAAAAGUGCAUACUUCAGUAUUUAAAAAAAUACUUUUUCUUAGUUUUGUUUUUCCAGGUUUUGGAUUUCCCCCAUUCUUUCUGGUUUAGCCCAUUCUUUCUGGUUUAGCCCAUUCUUUCUGGUUUAGCCCAUUAUUUCUGGUUUAGCCCAUUCUUUCUGGUUUAGCCCAUUUUUUCUGGUUUAGCCCAUUCUUUCUGGUUUAGCCCAUUCUUUCUGGUUUAGCCCAUUCUUUCUGGUUUAGCCCAUUUUUUCUGGUUUAGCCCAUUUUUUUCUGGUUUAGCCCAUUCUUUCUGGUUUAGCCCAUUAUUUCUGUUUUAGCCCAUUUUUUCUGGUUUAUCCCAUUUUUUUCUGGUUUAGCCCAUUUUUUCACACUUUUUUAAUAGAAAAACAACUAAAUGUGUUUUUCUUUGUUCCCGACAUUGCUUUAAAAAUCAGUGGAUGACUUUUGAGGUCUGGGAUAAAUGUAAGAAACAUCGUUUUUUUGAGUGCAGUUGCUCUUUAAUUCAGUGAGCAGUAAUUCAAUGCCCUGGACUGAAGUUUGGUUCGCAGGUUUUCUGUAAUGCAGUAAGCGCACGUGAUGUGAUUGGGCCGCCAUUGGAAUGGGUGGAGUUAAAGGCCACCAACACUGUAUUAUACAGAGCCCCAUGAAAUGACACCAUAUACAUUCUACAGACACUACUGAGUAUUCCCUACAUACUUUCUUGCUCUAAGCCAAAAUGUAAUUCAUAUACAGUGACUCACAUUGGGGCCAUUUAUUUGACCUUGGAACAUGAUUUAAAACCCACAUUUUAUGCAAAUGUCACAUAAAUAUGAACAAAUACGAAUCACUGUUAAUGUUUAGAAAAUACAUUUUAACAUAUUAUGAAUGGCUAUUGUUGACACUUUUCUACUAUUAAGUGGGGCACUUUUAUUUUGAAGAAAGAAAAGAAAAAACUGUGACCCCGAAGUACUUUUUUAGUUUUGUUGACAAGACGUUGAUCAUGUGAUGAGUUUGAAAACCAAAUGCCCACUUGUGCUGCCACCGGACAGCAAAAAAACAGGUAAGUUAACCUUUAUUUAUUGUAAUUUAAAUUAGUUUGUAGUAAAGUGUUGAGCUAAAUUACAUACUGUAGUUACCUUAAUCGUUAUUUCAAGUAAUUUUUGUGACUUCACAGCAAUUGCUACUUAGAUGAAAUUUUGCUAGCUAGCAGGCUCAGCUAAAUGCAAAUCCUCCUAGAUACAGCCAUGUCCCAUAGUCACAUUAUGAGAUUUAUAAAUGCAAGAGGGAUAUAAUAAUACGAAUUGAAUGGAGUUUCCCAUCUUCCCAUUUAGAGUUUCUAGCGCAGCGCAGAAAUACCCUUAUCCAGAUGGUGGGACAAAGACAUUUCCUAACAGACCUGCUAACUUUCUUUGUUGUUACCUUUAAGGUUGGAACCAACAUGCAGAGAGGCAAGAACCAUUUGUCCGCCAGCUCAGGGACAAACUAUAUUGUUCACAGCCCUGUAUAAUGUUCAAUGUAAUUGCAUUGCUGGACUAUUUGAC